CUCUGUCUGUGCCUGGCUCUGGCUGUGCCCAGCUCUGUCUGUGGUGGAAGGGGCUGCUGUUUGCUGCCCCUCUUGCUCAGGGCUGACUCACUUCCUGCCUUAGUAACUCAUUUGAAACCUUCCUGUUUUCUAACUUCUGACUGCAAAGUGAAGCCGUUUGUGAAGCAUGUGAGAGAAAUUGUACUGGUGCUGCUUUGCAUCACUUUCUGUUUACUUGAGCUGGCUGGCAGGGCAGUAUUUGUACCUGUUGAAAUGAUGCAUCCAUCUCAGGCAGCACUGUUUGUCUCAAGGGCAGGCAGGGUGCAGGCACCUGAGGACUCGUCCCUGGAAGGGAAGCAUGAGAGGAGAUGGGGGCCAGGAUGCAGGUGUGGGAGCAGAUCUCUGGUGCACUGUGGUUUGUGUGGGGUCUGACUGUGUUGCACUGCCUCUGAGACUUUUGUUUUCACAGAUGUUAAAGCCAGUCACAGGAAGAUGAUAAAUAGAAUGACAAACCUGAGUAGAACAGCUCUGGCAGAUUUUAAGGGACUGGGACAAGCAGUCUGGCUGUCAUGAGGGACACAGAGCAAAGCUGCAGGGCCUGGGGGCUGUUCUGGCAACACCCCAGCCCCCUGUGCAACUGUGGAGCAAAAAUCUCCUUUUAGGAUAAGAAAUAUGUGCAUGUACAUGCACUCAUGUACACAAACAGGCUCUAGGGGGAAGGUUAAUGCCUCUGUAUGAAUCUCUGCAGGCAUUUCCUACUGGGAAUGUUUCCCAGUUUAGAAAAACAUGUCAUGGAGGGUGCUGCAGCUCUCCUGUCUUGGCAUGUUCCUCCCUCUUUUGUGAGCCCUGCCUAUGAGCAGAGCUCUGGCUUUUGGAAGCUGCACAGGUCAUCAGAAGCACACAGAAGAGUUAUUUCUACCAUCCCCUGUCCUCUCUGCUACCCAGGCAUGCCUGACAGCUCUUCAAUGCUUGCAUAAGAGGUAGGAGAGCGGUGUGCUAUUUAUAUGCCUGUCACAGUGGGUGGUGAAAUGGCUAAUCAAAUCCUACCUGGCUUGUGAUAUGGCCAUAGCCUUUGUAAAUGUGCCAAGUGCUCUGUGAAAGGUGCAUGAUUUACAAAGCAUUUCCUCAGUUUCUCUGUCAGCUAUAAUGAGACAGAAAUCAGAGGGAGAGCUCCUAAAAUUUUUAAGUCGAUUCAGCUUAAAGAAACCAGACAAGUAGAUGCACAAAAGUAAAGAAUAAUAUAUGCAUGUGUAUAAGGCUCUGUGUAGCAAAAGACCCACAGAACCAACCUCUCAUGGGAAACAAAGUGAAAGUUUGCUUUUAAGACUAUUGAAGAAGAAAUUCCAGUUUCUUUAAAAGCAAUGAGGAUUUUGCUGUAGUUUUCAAUGGGACUAAGCUUCAGCUCCUGUUGGAAUUCAUAACUUAUACCUCACUGCCUGUCACAAAGAAAUACAUUAAGCAGGGAUGAAAGAUUUAUGAAAUCAUGCAUGAAAUGACUGUAUGUCUACUCUGCUUUCUGAAGGCUGUAUUUUUGUGGAAGAUAUUUUAUAUACAGGACAUGAUUUAUCUCUGAUGCCUGCAAGUUUUAUUCUUCUGUAAAGUUUUAACUACCUUGGGAGAGAUGCUCCCUUCUGGGAGGACCUUCUCCUUCAGUGGAAGAAGGAAGGCUGCUUCUUCUGUUGAUAAGGGGUACAGUGAAAAGCAGUAAAGAGAGCAGAGGAGCUGGAACUAUCUCUGGCACCUGGGCUGUGCUUUAGUGCCUGUAAAAUGCACUGCAUCACCACGUGUGUGCUUCUGAGAGUACUGCACUCAGGGCUGUAGUGCUGUCUUGUUUGACUUAACACAAUAUUGCCUCAAGAGAUUCCAGCCACUCAGUUAGGCUGAGAUCUAGACUUCCUGUCAAAAAAGAAAUUAAUUUCAAAACUUUCCAGAUGAGAUGCUAAGAUGAUAAUAGAUGUCCUGACUGAUGUCAGCUGUCAGGACAGUGCACAACAUACUGCCAGUCUCUUCCACUCUGUACUACCUUUCUUCUCUUUGCCCCCUGUUGGUUCCUGCAUUUGUUUCGCAAGCAAAAUGAAGAACCUGUCGUGUCAUCCUUGCCCUCUAAAGGCCUCUGUAAAUGUUUUGGCUUUACUGUUCACUUUCCUGCUUUUGCUUGGAAGAUGUGCCAAGGGCUGAGAAAGUGCUGUUCUCACCAAGGCACUUGGGUUCUGGUCAGCUGCUCUCUGCUUGAGGUUAUCCAGCUGUGACACAUGCACACAAUGACACCUACCUUCUGGGGCACAGGAAACAUGAAUUGUCUGUACUUAAAGAACCAGCAAGGAUGCACUGCUCAGUAGGGAAUAUAUUAAUUUAAUUCAGUGUCUUUUACAAAGAAGUUUUUAAAUCCGAGACUGGAGUGAGGAGGCAUUUUGAAAGUUGUACAAGUGAGCACUGCAAACACAGCUGAAUCUCAGCCUGAGAUUUCACUGUUGCUCUCUUCCUGUGCAAUGACUCAUUCAAAUCCAUUAAAGCAUCCUAAUUGGUAAGUCUUACUAGAGCCUUGGCUUCUCUGUGCACAGAUGUGACCCAGGGCAGCAUCUGAGUCCUCAGACAAUGGUAUUUUUUUAGCCCAUCAGAUCUCUCAUGCUUCUGAAAAGCAAAAUCCCAGUUUCACAUGCAUUUGGGAUCUUUGUUGUUAUAUAUUUUGAUGUGGGUAUUAAAAUGGUGAGUAGUUUUGUGUCUGAAACCUCUGCUCUAGUGAAUUGUAACCUGUGUAUUAGCAUAGUUGAAGAUCUGUAAACCAGAUCUUGGCAUGAAAAGAUGGUACAUAUUUCUGCCCUGAGGAUGGACAGCCUGAACUUCUGUACUCACUCAGAGGAAUGUGGUUAUUAACAAUAAAUAUCUCUCAAAUUUUCUUUUUUUUUGCAUGCUUUUGUGGUAACGCUUGGGGUGAGUGCAGCAGCAAAUAUGGAGAGUGUUUAAUACAGGUUUUCUGUGCUGGGAGUCUGCUCUCUCUGCUUGCAGACAUGCAAUACAUGGGAAAAUGCUCCUAGUUGUUCCAGACUCAUAGAUGGAGUGCAUUUCUUUGUCUUCAGAAGUUCUGUGUGAAGGAGAACCUCCUGGAAUGUAUCCUAGAUAAGUCCCCCGGCCUGACUGGGAUGAAGACAACCAGUGAAGAGGUUGUGAUUUCCUGUGAGUGAAUCCUCAGAAAAUACCCAUCUGAACUGGAAAAUGUUGGACCUGGUGGAGGUUAACUCUUCCAGGACUAAAUCCACAGGGUUAAAUGCUGUCAACCUGUUCUGAGUCUGUGAACGGGGUUUGGAAAAAUCUGUCUAAUGCCUGGUAAAUAGGAGUCUACAUGGAAUAAAACAAGUCUCGUCACUUGCCAGCUUUGCCAGAAAAGCCCAUGGGAGGAGUGGGCAUUGGAGUUUUAAGCAGCCUUUUUCUCUCAGAAACAAUCUGCUUCAUGUCAAUGGUGAACAACGUUGGAAUGGAGUAAGCAAUCCGUGCUGCUGCUUCUGCUGUGUUUGUGGAUAAAUAAAAGUGUUAAUUAACCAGACAUCUAAUUCUCCUUCUUUUUAAUAAGCUGAACACAUGCUCUGACCAUCUUGGUGCAGAUAUGGAGAAGUAGAUUUGUUUAUGCUGAUAUCAAACUUCAGCCACAUUGUUUUGCAUGCACAGAUGUUAGACUGCAAGUGUGUGUCUUCUCCUUUAGGGUCUCGCUUUUUAUUUAGACUUCUAAACUGUAUUCAAAUAAGGUUUUGACCGAAACUGAAUCACUAGGUACUUGAAAGCUAAAGAGCUUAUCAGGCAUCUGAUAAUGUUUUCAGGAUUUUCCCAGAUGAGACCGCGUAGUGUACAGACAGGAAGCUGAAGUAUCGAGCGCCUGACCAGAGCUUCCUCCUGCGCAAGAGUGGGGGUUUCUCUGACUUGAGUUUUCAACUCUGCAUGCAUGGUUUGAGCUUUGAAAUCUAAAGGAUAAGCAGCACCCAAACCUCCCAGCUGAGCCCUCCGAGCAAGGUGAAUGGAGCCUUCAGUGUACCCCUCUUGCAAGGUCAGCAAAACAGAUCUCACCUCUCCUGUGCUGUGUUACCUUCCUGACUCCUUAUCGGCCAGGGAAUCAGAGAGGGACUUUCCAGAGCUAUAAACAUGUGAGCUGAAGAGAUGGAAUGAGCCCAUAUGCAAAUGAGUUUUGAUUCCCUUCCCUUUAUAAAGUUAAAAUGGUUUUGAGAGAGAAUCAGAUCCUGCAGAGCGUGGGAGUCCGAGGAGGUUACCUUGGGCUGGCAGUGUCCCUGUCCGUCUGUCUGCCUUUCCAUUGCAGACAGCAAAGUGGAGUGGUGUACAAUAGAAAAUGAGAAAUGCAAACCUGUGCUGAUUGAAGAGGAGGAAGGAAAAUGGAAGAGAAAAAGCUGAAGAGUGGGAAAAAGAUAAAAUAAAAUGAAUUUUGGGGAUUCCACUGUGAGUAAGAGCCGAAAAAAAUCUCCUGGAAGAAGGCCAGGCCCUGGAGAGAGCCAGCAGGAGCAUGAGAUACUGCCGUGUGUCGGGACAGCCUGAAAAUGAAUGUCAUUUAUUCUCAGCUUUGAGAACUGAAUUCCAUGGGUUGUAAUUGAAUCUGCUGUCAGACCCAUGGGGCUCAGUUCUUCAGCUUGGAUAUUUCUGUCUUCACAUACACAGGAGAUCAAAGAAGCACUUGAUCAUUCUCUGCCUCUUCUGGUGAUAGCAGCGAGCAGGAGAGGAAGCAUCACUGAUGUGAAUCAUUUCAGCAGGGAGGGGUCACUGCAGAGGCCUGGCUCUCUCAGGAUAAAUUGCUGUGCAGUGAUUGAAUCUCUUCGGAUCUCACAGGCUCUGUGUUGCUACUCACUGUUUGAUUAGCUUGAUGCUUCCCUCUCGUUGUUAUCAAGCUGCCAACUGAGUCCCUGGCUGUUGUUGGUUGGAUGGUGGUCCCCAAGCCCUGCUGAGUGGUGCAGUUCUCCUGUGGACGGCUGUGGUGAGCUCCUGUAGACCGUGGAAAGCUGGACCUCCCUUGGGCUGAGCACUAAAUCUGCCAGCUGAUAAUCCGCUGUUCCCUGCUCUCCUGGUACCACUGCUGUGCACUUACUGCCUCAUUUGCUUUGUCUUGUGCCAAAAACCCAGUUUUGACAGUAGCUGUGACCAUAAAGAUUAUUCUUUUGCACCAGCCAACCAGCCCACUUCUAUGAACACAGAUUUGCUUUCCUGAGGUUAGUGAUGUGCUCCCAAAGCUGGUUUAGGGAGUUUCCAGUGUAAUCACUGAUGGCAAUGUAAGUGCUGAUUGAAGGCUUGGUAGCACAAACAUCCCUCUGUAGGGGAAUUCGUUCAAGUCACAGAUUGAUGUUUUUUCUUGGAGGACUUAUGUUAAAAUUUUUCAUUCAGGGAUCAGGAAAAGUAAUUGUCGUCUUUAAGCAUGUAAAGAGUUACAAUUAGCAAUGAGCUUUCCACCUCUUUUCUGCAAUAAUAACACCUAAAUUACAUUUUUCCAGCUCAGUAAAGGGGAUCAUAACUGAUCUUAUCCCUCUGUUACAAAGCUCUUAAAAGCACAGAAAUGCUGAAAUCCCACAGGUGUAGGAAGAGAGUGUUCAGCUAAAGUAGCUUAAGUAGCUUAAAACUGCUGUGUGCCUUUUCAUUCUGAAUAUAUAUUUACACACACAAAAAAACCCCAGAUAUUAAUCACUGUUGCCUGUGGAUACAGAUGUACCUUCAUACUGAUAUAUUUUUCAUAUAAAUUUUUAUCCUAGGGGUUGAAGACUUUCAAUUGCAGCUGUCUGAGAUGUAUUGUGCUCACCAGUUUAGAAAUUACAGUUCUUGAAAGAGCUCACUGGUUCCACCAGCUCCUGCUGUGGGAAUAUCCAUUAAACAGGAUGGAGAAACUGAACAAAGGACGAUAUUGAAAUUUUUACUUUUUAUUUUCCUCUAUCAUCCCUGUCAGAAAGAGGAAAUGAAAUUUGAGGUCAGAGUUGGUAAAAUCUUCAAAAGAAGAGAGAUCAAUGGAACAAUUUACAGGAUGUCUGAUGCAGGCAGUGUGGUGGAUAUUAAAUGCUGCAAAGCUUCAUCCUCUUCCUUCACUGUGCAGCCCAGCCUCUGGGCAGUGAUGCAGCACAGAGGUGAUGUGUGCAUGGUGGUAGCAAGGCCAUGCAUGAAAUCCAGGAGUACAGAAGUCUUUGGAGUCCUAUCUAAGUGACAAAACAAAAAUGUGGUGUAAGUAAUGCUAUUUUUUUUCUCAAAAGCCUACAGUAAGUCCUGAACUGAUAACAGCACUGUUGAUGUUGUCUCAAACUAAGCUAAAGCAGUUAAAAUGCAGGGGGGUGAAGGAGUCACUGUCAUGUAGGCAGGGAGCACAUGCAGGGCUGGUGUUACUCUGGUGAUGGCUGCUGCUUGUGAUCCUACUCGCUGGAGGGGCCAGGGGGUGUGUGUACCCCCCUGAGGGAGAGGUUCUUCACCCCCUAAAACCUCACAGGUCACCAUGCCUUUGGCAAACUGCAAAUGGGAUGUCACUACCAAAAAUCUGGUGGCCACGUGUGGUGCUGAACCUUCCCAAGCGCAUGGAGCUGGCUGUGCCCAGGGGAGAGUCAGGAAACUUCUGUCUGGCUUUGGGCUCCAGCUCUCCAUGAAUGAUGGCUUUUCAUGCAGGAAAACUGCCUCACUGCCCAUGUGUAACGAAAAAAUUUGAUGGUAUUUGUGUCCUGAGCAAGUAUAUGUUCUGAUCAUCGCAUUCAUGUGGAAAAGGGUGAAGGAAAAAGCUGGUCCCAGAGUUCAUUAUUCUCAAGCCUUUUUCCUCUCACAGCUGCCUGGAUGUGUCUGUGCUCUACAGCUGCUGCUCAGUGAGAGAACAGAACACAAUGAAUAGGUACAGAGGUGUUUUGAAAGCAGAUGCAAGGCAGUGCCCAGCCAUUCAGCGUGCUCCUGCUCAGGCCCAGGCUGCCUUUGAGGCUUGCUUGCCCUUCAUGACAAAGCAUCUUCUUUUGGGAUAUUCUUGAUAUAUUUAAACCAGCUAGGAUUUCAAGUCCCAGGCUGUCCUACUGGCACUGCUGUGCCUUUCCAGCAGAACAAAAAGUGUUUUUAGUGUGCAGUUUCAAAGCUGUGUAACGUCUAUCUCUCAUUCUGCUGCCUCACAAUAUACCUGUUUAUUCUGCCUCACUCCAGCAGGUGAGUGAUGCCCAGCCUGCAUCUCACACCCCCAGCCUCCCAUGAAGGGAUGCAGGGUCACAGUGCUGAAGCUAAAAUGACUCUGUGGCUCCUGUGCUGGGGUUCUGUCUGAUGUACAACACCUCAGGGUAUAUUAAUGGAUCUAAAUCUUUACUGAAUCUACCCGCUCCAUGCACAACCACCAGAAGUUGAAGCACCACAACUCUGAUGACUGCAUCUCUUCUGCAGGAUUUCUCUGUUGCUCCAAAUGUUUAAUUCCAAAGUGAAAUUCGGAUUUUUUCACUUUAUUUUUCAGUACAGAAGAAUUCAGGUGACUUCACCUGAAUUUUUUAGUGCUGAUAUAGGUUAAAACCUACUUUUUGGCACAAGUAAAGCUUUUCCUAAAAAGAUAUACUGUCUCUAUGUCUCUCUUAAACUGAUCUAUGGAACCUUCUGGUGCUUAUUCACAGAUCUCACUCUGUUUAUUUUUUUCUGAAUAAAUCAAUGGCCUCAAUCCCCCUGGCACAGCUCUGGCAGACCAGUAGGGCACCUACAUUUUACAGCUGAGCAAACUGAGAGACUGAACACUUUAGAUGGGGAAGCCCUGAAUUCUCUUGCAUGCUUUUUGCUUUUGACUUGUGGUUUUAUGUUUACUAUUCACAACAAACAAAUGAGGACAAACACCUACAUACUCCUUCUUCUUCUUGUAGGAGCGUGCCUUAGUGUCACCACACUGCUUGUGUGGUUUGCUGCCUUCCUCUGCUGAUAUUCUGUCCCUGCUUCUUAGUCCUUGAUCCAUCCCUGCCUCUCUCAGGGCAUAUCUCCUGAAGUUUUUUUUUUUUACUUUUCUCCCCUAUAUGUUGUGUAUUAUUUCUCUCCCUCUUUUUAAAAAAUUUUACUUCAGUUUUUUUUUUAGCUCAUCCCCCAAGAUUCUCUUCUCCUUGCUUCAACAUAAUGGUUGAAUGUGGUGAAAAAAGCAAACCUCCUGUGCUGGAGGGGCUGAUGAACUGCUUCAAAAGCAAAAUGGGAGCAGCAAAGCAGCACAGAGCGAGGAGCUGCAGCAGUCCCUGGUCUGUAGGUGCUGCUGUGUUUCCCUUUGCAGGUAAGGGGAGAAGGUGCCUUGUGGCAUUGACCACUGCUCCCUUUUGCUGCCUCCAGCCAUCAUCCUCUCCUUCAGCCUCUGCAUUUCUGCCUUGCCCAGCGGGUGCUGGGGAGAGGCUCAGGAGGCUGCGGGGAGGCUCUCGGAUCCUUUCAGACUCUCCAAGCAGUGGCUGUGCACUGCACACUGCUCUGGAGGUGGCUCUGCACCUGCUCUUUGCAUCUCCAGGACAAGGCAGCUCUUGCAGACUGUAGCUCAACGUUUUGGUUAACAUCUCUUUUUCCUCCCAGGAAAAUGCUGAGUUUUUGUUGGGUUCAGCAAUCCUGAUGUCUGCACAGCUGAGAGAAAUAGCACUUCCCAGUGAGUGUGAGUGUGCCUCUACAGCUCUGACAAGGCUCUCCCCUGCCCUGGGAGGAAGCAGCAGGGCUGGAAAGCUGUGCAGUCACAAUAUGCUGACUAAGAAUAAUUUUGGAGCAAACAAGCAUACAGUCAUUGGGAAAGGAAGCUGUUUCAAGAUGUGAAGGGAAUUUUAAAUCGCAUUUGAAAUAAAAUUAACCUUUUCCAGAA